AUGGAGUGGGUUCCACCAGAAGCCGGUCGCCUAACCGCAAGGGGGGCGCCGACCACGGUGAGAUUCAUGACUGGGGUG
rnacentral:rRNA from 1 species